rnacentral:rRNA from 1 species
UACGUAGGGUGCAAGCGUUGUCCGGAAUUAUUGGGCGUAAAGAGCUCGUAGGCGGUUUGUCGCGUCUGCUGUGAAAACCCGAGGCUCAACCUCGGGCCUGCAGUGGGUACGGGCGGACUGGAGUACGUGCAGGGAGACUGGAAUUCCGUGGUGAUAGCGGUGAAAUGCGCAGACUAUCAGGAGGAACACCGGUGGCGAAGGCGGGAUCUCUGG